rnacentral:lncRNA from 1 species
UCGAGCAUCGGAUAGGCAGAGGGAGUGCCUUGGUCGGGGGACAACGAGGCUCGCCGGCUGGGUGACUCCGAGCGCUGGAGGCUAGACAGGCACAGGCAGGGGUGGAUCCAUGUGGGGGCAUGGGUGCCGUCGCGCCAUCGAAGGCCUCCACGGCGCCCUCUAUCAGGUCACCUCUCUCUCCACGAACUCCUUUUUACCCACGUUUUUACCACUCUCCAAGCUCGCACUAUUGCUCUGGAAAAUUCCCUUUGGAAUUGGGGAUGAAGCAAUCGAUUUCGAUUGAUUGGCGCCGUGCAGACGACGGGCGUGGGACGCCGCGGGAGGCGUGCCGCGUUCGAGAGCCACUGUGGAUUAUCUUCGAGGUGUCAGGCGACAUUCGCCUCGAGACCUACCUCCGGGUCUCUUCCCAUAUGCAUUGACGGGCGCGGGUAGCGGGUCAGGCUCACCGGCAAGGCGCCGGUAUAUUUCUUAAUCUGCUCGUUAUGGUUCUCCAAAUAUUUUUAGAGAAUAAAACUGGCUGAAGAUGGUGCGUGCAGCUUGCCUCUGAACUUGUGAUGUCCGGCCAUUGCAUCUGGGAGGAGCUCCUCUUCAGGAAGAAUGCCGAGACGUACGCCACUGCUGCGACUGCCGUUCUCGUCCACGUUUUGACUACACUUGCAGGUUGGCUCUCUACUUCAGUUGCUCGCAGCUAGCAACUCUGAACGCACUUCAUCCCGUGUUAAUUAACUUUCAGAAUUGUGCUGCUUUGUUUAUAAAUGAUGUUGGCCAUACUAUAUGUCUUCGUGUGAAGUGAUUCUUCAUUGCCUUUGCAGAGUAGCAUUGAUGUUCUUUAGAAGUACCCUGUGGCCGAGUGUGACAUUUGUUUUAUCAAAUUCUAAUGUGAUUUUCACUUCAAUCAAUUAGCAAUAGGUAACACUUGAUAUUGACACUAUUAUCUGCAGAAUUAUUUUUGUAAGAUACUUAUGUGAUUGCCAACAAGUUUCUGAAGAUGACCGUGCUCGUGAUUAAUUGUUUGCUCAUAAACCUAAUCAUCUAUAUGCACCUGAUCAGGGUUAGAUGAAAUUCAAAGAGUAUAAUUCUUGUGGUUAAUCGUUUUCUCGUAAACAGGCAACUGCGAAGGCAAAAUCUACAUGUGAGAAGUGCAGAUGAGCCCCGCUGUGCUAAUUACCUGGUGAGUUCAACUAAGCAAGUUCAGCUAUUCCCAGUUUAUCCUCUACAUGUGGUGGUGGUGCUAGCUACUAACUUCUAUGUUCCUGCAUGUACACUCUCAUAAUUUUGUGGCUGAGUAGUCCGCAACGCAAAUCUUAUGCUCUCUCAUAUUCCCUUGUAAACUGCCUAAACAUUGAUGAUUGUAAUCCAGCUGUUGAUUAAUGACUGAAUCCCCUGAUCUGAUCCAUAAAAAAAAGACAUGACGCCACCUUAUUUCUUGAAAAUGUACAUGCCUAUCUAGAUUUUUCUAGAACAAGUUUUUUUUUACUCGUAUGUCUAGGUUGUGAGUUGUGACUGAGUGUGAUUUGAAUAAUUAUUGUGUACAAUUUUAGAUUUAUAUAUUUGUUCUUUGACAUAUGAGAGUUACAUUGUGUGAGUAAUUAGGUCAUAGAACAAUGAUUUGAUUUAUCUUCUGCCAGUAAGCAUUGUCCUGUAACAAACAUUCAGUAAUGGCAUAAUCGGAUCACAUGCUGUAGAUGAAUGCCUAAAGUGUACAUAUGAUUUUUUUUUACCGAAAGCAAUACUGUCUAGCUUUUUGAGAAAGCUAAAAGUCUAAUUACAAAAACAAGCAAAGAUGAGGCUGGGUGUCGAAAUAGUACAGAUCCUGCAGAAGUUCAAAUUUGUACUAUGAGGGUAUUUGCGUGUAGCAAAGUAGGGCGAUCAUUGCAUGGUAUGCCUUCAGUCCUCGGUAGUCAGCUAAUGUACAUAGUAUCCUUAAAGUUUCUUCAAGUUGAGGAAUGAUCAAACUUAAUAGCAGACAUCCAUCGUGAUAAGCUAUUAUUAUAUUUCACUUAUUUGCCGACUUAAUACAGCUACACUGUUGAUCUUUACUCCGAUUUAUCUUGUAAUAACUCCUAACACUCACUUCCUAACACUCACUUAUUUGCCGGCUUGAUACAGCUACACUGUUGAUCUUUACUCCCAUUAAAAAGUCAAUUGGUGGCGGCAGUCUGUCCACUUUCGUUACAAUACAUUUAUAUUUGGCACAAACUAUUAAGAUGAAAGCGGAUAUGGAUAUUUUGAUUUUGCAUAAACUGCGGAAAGAUCUUAAAACACAGUUUUAAAAUUCCAUUUUAAUGAAUGAGUAUUGUGCUUGUAUGGGUGGCAUCAUACUGUAUUUCACAGUGCUGAAAAUCAAAUGUACAUUGUUUUCACAUAAUCACAUUGUAUUCAAACAAUCUGUGUGAUAUGUGUCAUUGUCAUCCUUUGCAGUAUUCUGAAUUGGCUGCUGAAGUACAUAAGUGAAGUCUACUGGUGAAGGAGAUGUGAAGAAUGAUAUAGAGCAAGUAGAUAAAAACCGCAGUUGUUGGGCCCAAGGUAGGCUCCUUCACUCAGAGUAUAUGUUGGACGGUUUCUUGUUCGACAUCAAUUUCUGGUUGGAGAUUGAGCUGCAUUCCAGUUUGAUUAUGUGAUUAUAUCAAAUUUGUGCAUAUUAACUGAAAUGUGUAAUGCUACAAAGUAGAUAGGUUUUCCUAGCAUUUUACCACGGGGCGUCUCUUUUCUUUGUUUUCUGCCCCUUGUCUUGUACAUUCUCCAUUUAAUGACAUAUGGAUGGCUAACCAACCAAUUUUGUAUGUUUAUAACAGUUUUACAUGAGUAUUCCUACACAUAGAUGAAUACCCUCCUGGUGCUAAUCAAGGAUUUGAUAUUCUGUUAGCUUUGGUUAAGUUGCCUGAGUUAAUGCCUACAUGAGGAGCUGAACAAAAAUGCGAUGGGGGAUCCCAUCUUAGAAUUGUUUUCCCUUUUCUCCCAAUAGCUUUCAUUUUGCAGUAUAUUAGCUAAUUCUGCGUAGGAUGAUUACAUAUGCAACAUUUGUAAAGGAGUAGACUUGUUAAAAGUUUCAAUUAAUAUCAUAUGAUGCCUGCUGGAUUAUUUUCUUGUCAAACUGAAAUUUAAAUGUCCCAAUACUAUGUUCUAUUCCAAUUUCAAACUAAUUUCCUUGUUGUGGGUUGCAUACACGAACUGUAAUGCAUUUCA